ACACAAUUCUCUCCCCCUGUUUUUUCUGAAAUAACAUCUCUGGUUGGCUGGAGCUGGCCUCUGUGCCUGUGCACUUUGGGAUGUAGGCAGGGCCUAGUAGAUGUUUAACUUUUGCAUACGUUUGGGCCUGGUUUCCCAGGAGUGCAGCUGUAGCAUGCUAUGGUUUGUUCCAGGAAAAGCUGCCAACAGAAAAGUAAAGUUUGCAUAAAGAAAGAUGUCUCUUUACUUCCCUGUGACUUCGUAUGCUUGGUAUAUUGCUGCCCUCUAAACUACCCAGUGGGAGACACGGAGAACAAGACAAGCCGGUGCCACAAGAGAUCAAAACCAGGACAGGAAUUUGGACUCCAGUGAUUCUGACAGCGAGAGCAAAGAUGAACUACAUCGUGCAAUGGAGCAAAUACUACCCCUGAAACAGAGACUGCAUCCAGAGGCAGAAACAUUCAAUCCAUGUCUGAGAAAUGAGGAUGUUGUUGAUCCUGCAAACAUGGAAACUGCUGAUCAGAUUGAUGUGACAUUCACACCAGAUAGUGAAAGACCUGAAUGCCAAAACAAACCUGUGGAACCUGAAACCAGGAGCACACAAGAGGACAGAUUGUGAGAGCUUUCUACUGACUCAUAGAUUUAAGGCCAGAAGGGACCAUCACGAUCAUAUAACAGUCUGACCGCCGAACAGUCUGACCGCCACACAUCGCGGAGCACAGAACCUCACACACCCACUGCUGUAGUAAGCCAUAACCUCUGGCUGAGUUACUGAAAUCCUCAAAUCAUCAUUUAAAGACUUAAUGGAGAAUCCACCAAUUACUCUAGUUUAAACUAGCGAGGGACCCAACAUGCAAGGUCAUCCAACUAGGGAGGGAAGACAUAUGAACAUUUAGAGACAUGUAAUUAUCUGUGUCUAAAUCCAACUCCUGGAGUGGUGAAUGAACCCUGGGGUUAUCCUCAUAUUUGUCAUAGGGCGUGCGAAAUACCUAUUCCUGCACCUUUUUCUGCAUUCUAUCCAAGACUGAUGGAAUAUCGGCAAAUGAAGUGAUAUUGAUUUAAAGGAAGUGCUAGAAAAAUCAGACCCCAAAAGGCUCAGAAGCCAGAAAAGUCUCACAUCUAUUCUUUGAA